AUUGAACGCUGGCGGCAUGCCUUACACAUGCAAGUCGAACGGCAGCACGGGAGCAAUCCUGGUGGCGAGUGGCGAACGGGUGAGUAAUAUAUCGGAACGUGCCCAGUCGUGGGGAUAACGUAGCGAAAGCUACGCUAAUACCGCAUACGAUCUAUGGAUGAAAGCGGGGGAUCGCAAGACCUCGCGCGAUUGGAGCGGCCGAUAUCAGAUUAGGUAGUUGGUGAGGUAAAGGCUCACCAAGCCGACGAUCUGUAGCUGGUCUGAGAGGACGACCAGCCACACUGGGACUGAGACACGGCCCAGACUCCUACGGGAGGCAGCAGUGGGGAAUAUUGGACAAUGGGCGCAAGCCUGAUCCAGCAAUGCCGCGUGCAGGAUGAAGGCCUCGGUUGUAACGUAG
rnacentral:rRNA from 1 species